rnacentral:rRNA from 1 species
GAUCAACGCUGGCGGCGCACAUAAGACAUGCAAGUUGAACGGACUUAAUCGAAAUAUUUAUAUUUUGAGGCGGUUAGUGGCGGACUGGUGAGUAACGCGUAAGGAACCUGCCUAUUAGAGGGGAAUAACAGUGAGAAAUCAUUGCUAAUACCGCAUAUGCCAUAGAUAUCACAUGAUAACAGUGGGAAAGGAGCAAUCCGCUAAUAGAUGGCCUUGCGUCUGAUUAGAUAGUUGGUGGGGUAACGGCCUACCAAGUCGACGAUCAGUAGCCGGACUGAGAGGUUGAACGGCCACAUUGGGACUGAGAUACGGCCCAGACUCCUACGGGAGGCAGCAGUCGGGAAUAUUGCGCAAUGGAGGAAACUCUGACGCAGUGACGCCGCGUAUAGGAAGAAGGUUUUCGGAUUGUAAACUAUUGUCGUUAGGGAAGAGAAAGGACAGUACCUAAGGAGGAAGCUCCGGCUAACUACGUG